rnacentral:tRNA from 2 species
GGCAUGAUGGCCGAGCGGUCUAAGGCGACGCACUCAAGUUGCGUUGGGAUUUAUCCCGCGUGCGUUCAAAUCGCACUCAUGUCA